CGGGCGCACCGCACAGCAGGGCAUGGAGGAGAGCGGCGAGUCCCAGCCGACCGCGGGCUGCAGCGAUGUGCGCCCGAGCGGCGAUCGCGGCGGCGGCGCCCUCUCAUGGGCCCCCGAGGACGCCUGGAUGGGCACGCACCCUAAGUAUUUAGAAAUGAUGGAAUUAGAUAUAGGAGAUGCCACCCAAGUGUAUAUAGCAUUCUUGGUUUACCUGGACCUCAUGGAGAGUAAGAGUUGGCAUGAAGUAAACUGUGUGGGAUUACCAGAUCUCCAGCUCAUCUGCCUUCUUGGUACUGAGAUAGAAGGAGAAGGGUUACAGACUGUGGUACCUACACCCGUCAGUGCUUCCCUCAGCCAUAACAGGAUAAGGGAGAUCUUGAAGGCAUCUCGAAAAUUGCAAGGUGAUCCAGAUUUGCCGAUGUCUUUUACUUUGGCCAUAGUGGAGUCUGACUCCACAAUAGUCUAUUACAAACUUACUGAUGGAUUUAUGCUGCCAGAUCCUCAGAAUGUUCCCUGUGUACUUGACCGAAGUUGUUCUGUCCAAAGCCAGCCAGAUACCUGCUAGUGUGAGUAAUGGUCCAGGACAGUUUGGAAAUGGAGAUGACCCGCCUCUGUCAGUCUCAUUUUAGUGAAAAAUAGACCAGCGAUAUCUUGUGGAUUGACACCUGUAUACAGACCACACUUUGAGUAGCCUGUGUUAGAGCUCAGAUGAGAAGUGAUGAGAGCCUGAAACCCAACAGUAGCCCAGCCCCCGGACACUUUUCAUUCAAACGUGUAAAUGCACAGAAGAGAGAAGUUAAUGAUCACUAACCUUUUACCAUCUUGGGAGGAGCGACUUCUGGUGCUUAGUAUCAGGAAACUUCUGAGGGAAUGAUUCCAGGUGCCCUUAGCUCAGGUGAGAAAUCCUAGAAGUGGGCUCCUGCUGGCCUGGAAGAAAGUAAACAUCCAUGCUGUGAAUAGCAUGGGGACCACAUGGCAAGGAAUACCGAUGUCCUCUGGGAGCUGAGUGUGAUCCCCAGAUGACAGCUAGCAAGGAAACGGGGAACGUAUUCCUACGAGGUCAUGAGAAACUGAAUUCUGCCAACAACCCGACUGAGCUUGGAAGGGGACCCCACACCUCAGAUGAGAACUCAGCCUGGCCGGUGCCCUAACUGCAGCCGUGUGAUCCCCUGAGCAGGGAUCCAGCAAAGCUGUGCUCAGACUUCUGAUCCAUGGAAAACAUUCUGAUUUUGGGGAAUACAAACUGAGAUAGAGGCAUAUUUUGUUACCUGAAAUGGCUUGGGCUGAAGCUUGCUCUUGAGGAGAAUAAGCACCUGGAGCUACAGUGUCUGAACUAGCAGCUGCUGCUGCCACCUAGACAUUGUCACUGAGCUGUGUGAAGCUAUAUGGCAAGGCUGAGUCUGAUUCAAAGAUACCUGCAGGCAUUAAUCUUCACAGUUCUCAUGGUGGAAGACUACAAGGGCAAGCCAGACCUGAGCUGACCUGAAAAGAUUUUGAUAGGCGGAAAGAUGGGAGGACUUUCAUCCACUUCUCCACCACUGGAAUGCCCUCAGAACUUCUCUCUUUUGCUCUCCAAAUCCUAAGGAGGUGGCUGAAGUCCAGGGAAUGAAUGAAGGUCAGCGAGAGAGAAUAUACACACCACAAAGAGAAGAGGAGUAAUUCCGGAUUCUUAGAGAUCACCAACAUGUAACAGUCGAUCCCUUUCAUGUUUUUUCUCUUCUGUUUUCAAGCUGGUUUGCAUCAGAAUGGUAAUUCUCUCAUUUCAAGAUUUUAAUGCCAACUGCAGAGAAUUCUGUGUUUCGGUUUAUAAUUGUUUAAAGUUCUGAUUUUGAGCACAGCAUCUUCAACAACUAUUUUCAACCACUGUGGAGAUCUGUUUGGAACAUAGUUUUUCUCUGUUAAACCUAUUGUGUGUGGAAUGUCACAGCCCCCUGAUAACUGGCACUUGGGAUCUCCUACACUGGUCUGCCCUGUAGUAGUGGAGGGGGCAGGAGGGUUUUCAUGGCUCCCAAACCUAAAGGUAAGAAAAAAGUCUAGAUUUUGUGCUGCUAAAAAGACCUCCAUCUUUUUUCAAAAGUCCUCAACUCUUAUACUUUUUGUGUUACAGGAUGAAGGUUCCAGGUCUGUAACAGAACAUCUAUUAAAGUUUUGAUAUCACGAAACCCCACUGAUAAUAUUUUUAUGCAUAGGCAUAUAAGAUGUUUCUGUAAAAACUGUUUUCUUAGGACAACAACAAAAUCCCCAAAGUUAUAUAAGGUAAAAACAAAGUGAUUUGAUCUUGAAAGGUAAGGAAAUAAAAUUGCUUCGAUAAUUAUCACUAUCAUGAUAAAAUGGUUAUCAUAAGACUUGAAAGUAUUUUUCCAUUUAUCACAGCACAUCUACAAGUUAUUCACGGAACACCCGUGUUCCCUGGCACGCAGUAUGAGAAACACUAUCCUAGUGGUUUGAUUGUGAUGGUGCACAAUACUAUGCUCACCGAACGGGACCCCAUUAUCUUUACGUUUAAAAGGCAAUUUCAGAAAAGAAGAGGGAUGGCUCCAGAAAGCUGAACCUGUCAUGGAGCUGGGCAGAGUAAAGGACCUCAGCAAACAUUUGUUGAAUGGUUCCUACCACUUGCUAUGAGUGCUUGCACCUGUGACCCUUGGUCUCGAGAAAGAUGGCGAACAAGUUUUUCUGUGUGCUGCCUCAAGUCUGCUAGUAGGACUGCCUGGAGUACCGUAAUGGAUCUGAUCUGUUAUGGUAGAUUGCACUGCGGUUGGCAAUUAUCCACCUCCCCUUCCUUGUGAGGAUUAGACAUCCCUGACCAUUGCCUUGUGACUCUGUGUGUGGAUCAUUCAAGCAGUGGUUUUAAGAGGCAUCAUGGAUUAUCACCGGCUCUCUGGCUCUUUCCCUCUGCCGUGGGAAUAGCACACCUCAUGAUCCUUCAGCCUGGAUCCCAGAAAGUGCAGCCCAGCAGCCAACUUCCAGCGUGGAGCUGAGCCACACACUGGAACAGAGCGGCAGCCAACCCUCGGCCUUCAGUAAUGAGCGCAUCCAGGAUACCACCUUACGUUUAGUUGUCGCGUCUCCUUUGGCUGCUCUUGGCUGUGACAGUUUCUCAGACAGACCAUGUUUUGAAUGACCUUGACAGUCUGAAGAAUACUGAUCAGAGCUAAUCAUAGAUGUCAUGGGGGAAUAGAAGAUCAAAGAAUAAAGAGCAUCAAUUUAUUUUUCCUGCUGCAGCUCCUGUUAGGUUUCUAUCCAAAAUGUAACCUGAAUCUGCCUACUUCUCUCAUCUCCAUUGCUACAAGCCUAAUCUGAGCCAUCUUCAACCUCCUACCUGAGAUGAGAGUCUCCUGCCUGGCUGCCCUGCAUCCUCUCAUUUGGUCAUCCUGCAGUGGCCAUAAUGGUCUCUAUGAAGAGGUACCGCUCACUCCUUAAGACCCUCCCAUGCUUUCUUCCCACUGCAUGUAGAAUGAGAGCUAAACUCCUCUCUAUAGCCUCCAAAAUCACUUGAUCUGGCAUCCCUGCCAGUUUUCAACCUCUCAUUGCUUGUUAUUGUCUUUUUUUGUUAUUGUUGCUGCUGUUGUUUGGGAAGGGGAACUCAAAAACUGAGAGUUGUGUCAAUCAUACUCCUUAAUACGUGGUGUAUUAUCAUCUUUGAUCAACAUAGAUCCCUCACUUGUUUGUUAGUUGGUUGGCUUAUUUCCUUUUGUCCAAAUUCCCCACUUGCACUUCCUCUUCCUAAUGUGUUUCAUUUUUAUGUCUUACUAUAAAUUGUGUAUUGAUGUUUUGUGUACAUAUAUUUCUAAUUUAUGUAAAUGAUACUGUGUAAUAAAUCACAUUCUCCUUCUUUUCAAAUCCAGUGCUGUGUUUUGAAGAUACGUUUAUGCUGCAUGUUGCAUGUUGCCUCUAGUCUAUCUUCUCAUUGCUGUAUAUUACUCUCUGGUCCAUCCAUGACUUUUUGACUAUCUGUCCCCUGGGGAGUGGACACCCAGGUUAGCCUGGCUCCCACUCUGGACGACCACAAACAAUAAGCAUCCCAUUAUUGUGGACUUAUGUGAGAAUUGCUUUGCAAUAUAUUUCAGAGUGGAGUGGCUGGGUAAUCUUGUAUAUUUAAUUUGAAAAUAUACUCCCAAAUUGCUCUCCAGAAGGCUACAGCCUAUGUCCCCCCCCAGCAAUGCAUAACAGCACCAUAAUCCCUGACCCAGUGUUCCUGCCAACCUAGGCAUUAUCCCACUUUCUGAAUUUCAUCACUCAAAUAAUGGAAAGUUUAUGAUAGCUAAUGACUUUGAGCAUCUUAUAUGUAUCAUAGCACUUUAGGUCUCCUCUUAUGGAAAUUGCCUGUUCAUGGCCUUUGCCUAUUUUUCCCACUAGGAUUAUGUGUUUUUCUUGCUGAUUUUUGCAAAAGCUCCCUUCUAAUGCUGGAUAUAAUUCGCUGAAUGAUGUUAGACAAUGAAAAUAUUUUCUCCCAAAGUAUCAUCUGUCUGUUAACUUUAUCAAUGUUAUUUCUUGUUAAGUAGGAAUUUUUGGCUUUGAUAAAAUUGAAUUCACCUUUCUUUCCUUCAUGAUUUAUGUUUCUGAAUAUUUUUAGGAAGUCCUUUCUCACCACCAAGAUGCAGGUAAUAAGGCUUUUUGUUUUUCCCUUCCAGGGCUUGCAGCUCUUUUUUCCCAUUUCUUAUUGCUUGGAAAAGCCCUCCAGUUUAUGUUACAUAGUAGCAAUAAUAGCAUUUUUUUCUUUUUCCCAGUUUUAAAGUAACUGCAUCUUCAGUUUUUCCACAAGUAUAGUUUUUGUUGUGAGUUUUCAGUUAAAGUGAGUCCCUACAGUUCCUUUUCUUCUGAUAGACUGACCAUAAACAGGUAUUGACUUAUUUAUGUUUUAUCAAAUGAUUUUUCUACAUCAAUUGAGAUUAAUAAUAUUUUAAUAAACAAUUAUAAAUGUUUUACGUUAGUCUACUCAUGUGGUGAAUUAUGUUGAUAAACUUUUCUCAUGUUAAACCAUCCCUUCAUUCCAGGGAUAAGAAGGAUAACUAAUCUUUUAUGUAGAGUUUGACAUUUAUGAUCAUAAGUAAAACAGACCUAUCAUUUUCUUAUGUGUAUUUUUUUUGUCUUAUUCCUAUCUACUUCCAAAGUCAUUACACUGGCGUCACAGAAUGAUCUGCUCAAUUCAUUUCCUAUGUUCUGUAAGUACUUAUAUAAGAUAGAAAUUGACUGUUCCUCCAAAUGUUGCUAAUACUAAUGUAAAAAACCAUCUGUACUUGAGAUCUGAGGGGACGGUUUGUCUUUUAGACACCCUUUUAGCUAGUAGUUAUUGAUAUUUAAGUAUUAGGUACUAUUGAUAUUUAACUGGUAUAUCUAAGUUAUCCAUUUCUUCUUGUGCCAAUUUUGACAUCUUGUAAUUUCUUGGCAUUUGUCUAUUACAUAUAGGUUUUCAAAUGCUAUAAUACUCUUUUCUUAUUUUUUUAAAUCUUUCUUGAGACUGACCUUAUUUCUGCUUUUUAAUUUUGAUUCUUAUUUGCAUUCUCUCUCUUUUACCUUUUAUUAAGUGAAUAUUUUACUGAAGUAUAACAUACACACAGAAAACUCUAUAUCAUAGGUGUGUAGCCCUAUGAAUUUUUGUGAGGCAUAUAUUUUGGAAUAGAAAUGGUGGAUCAAGCAUACAUAUGUACACAAAAACACAGGUACAAAAAUUAUUAUAGCAGUAUAAUUUGUAACUGCCAAAAGUUAAAAUAACCUAAAUGGUCAUCAAUGAUAGGCUAGAUAAAGAAACAUUAGUAUGUUCACAUCAUGGAAUACUAUGCAGCAAUAAAAAAUAUAAACCACUACCACACACAAAAACAUGGAAAAAUACACAAACAUAAUGUUGGACCAAAGAAACCAGAUACAAGUGGGGAUAUACAAUAUGAUCUCAUUUAUAUAAAAUUCAAAAUAGGCAAAAGUAAAUUCUGGUUUUGGGGGUCAGAACAAUGGUUAACUUUGGG